rnacentral:rRNA from 1 species
GAUGAACGCUGGCGGCGUGCCUAAUACAUGCAAGUCGAGCGAACAGAUAAGGAGCUUGCUCCUUUGACGUUAGCGGCGGACGGGUGAGUAACACGUGGGUAACCUACCUAUAAGACUGGGAUAACUUCGGGAAACCCGAGCUAAUACCGGAUAACAUUUGGAACCGCAUGGUUCUAAAGUGAAAGAUGGUUUUGCUAUCACUUAUAGAUGGACCCGCGCCGUAUUAGCUAGUUGGUAAGGUAACGGCUUACCAAGGCGACGAUACGUAGCCGACCUGAGAGGGUGAUCGGCCACACUGGAACUGAGACACGGUCCAGACUCCUACGGGAGGCAGCAGUAGGGAAUCUUCCGCAAUGGGCGAAAGCCUGACGGAGCAACGCCGCGUGAGUGAUGAAGGGUUUCGGCUCGUAAAACUCUGUUAUUAGGGAAGAACAAAUGUGUAAGUAACUGUGCACGUCUUGACGGUACCUAAUCAGAAAGCCACGGCUAACUACGUG